CUACGGGGCGCUCCAGUGAGGAAUUUUGCGCAAUGGGGGGAACCCUGACGCAGCAACGCCGCGUGAGUGAUGAAGGCUUUCGGGUCGUAAAGCUCUGUCAAGUGGGAAGAACCUAUGCAGUGUUAAUAUCACUGUAUACUGACGGUACCACUGAAGGAAGCACCGGCUAACUCCGUGCCAGCAGCCGUGGUAAUACGGGGGGUGCAAGGGUUAUUCGGAAUCAUUGGGCGUAAAGGGCACGUAGGCGGCUUCGUAAGUCAGAUGUGAAAGCCCGGGGCUUAACCCCGGAAGUGCAUUUGAUACUGUCAAGCUUGAGUAUGGGAGAGGGAAGUGGAAUUCCUGGUGUAGAAGUGAUAUUAGUAGAUAUCAGGAGGAACACCGGUGGCGAAGGCGACUUCCUGGACCAAUACUGACGCUGAGGUGCGAAGGCGUGGGUAGCAAACAGGAUUAGAUACCCGGGUAGUC
rnacentral:rRNA from 1 species